rfam:Frankia sp. EAN1pec, complete genome.
GAAGCGGGAACCGGGCACGGCCAAGGCCGGUCAGACCCGGGGUGCCUCACCGAAAGGUGAGGCGGCA